CCCUAAACCUAAAUAAUCGACCAACAAGAUUAUUCGCCAGAGUACUACUAGCAACAGCCUAAAACUCAAAGGACUUGACGGUGCUUCAUAUCCAUCUAGAGGAGCCUGUUCUAUAAUCGAUAAACCCCGAUAAACCUCACCAACCCUUGCCAAAUCAGCCUAUAUACCGCCAUCUUCAGCAAACCCUAAAAAGGAACAACAGUAAGCACAACUAUAAUCUGUAAAAACGUUAGGUCAAGGUGUAGCCUAUGGAUUGGGAAGAAAUGGGCUACAUUUUCUAUAUAAGAAUACUUACGAAAAUUCUUAUGAAACUAAGAAUUAAAGGAGGAUUUAGCAGUAAAUUAAGAAUAGAGUGCUUAAUUGAAUAAGGCCA
rnacentral:rRNA from 1 species